AAUGCAUAUUGCUAAGAGUUUGGAGUUGAGGCUGCAAGCUGGCCAAUAAACUUGAAAUUGUAGGUAGUGUGCGACAUGAGUGACAAGUUUCCACUAAUGCUCCACUCUGGCCCAGUGAAUGGAGUUUGAUAGUAAGUUGUGCUACAAGG
ensembl:snoRNA SNORA62 Small nucleolar RNA SNORA62/SNORA6 family